rnacentral:rRNA from 1 species
UACGUAGGGUGCGAGCGUUGUCCGGAAUUAUUGGGCGUAAAGAGCUUGUAGGCGGUUUGUCGCGUCUGCCGUGAAAUUCGAGACUCAACCUCGAACUUGCGGUGGGUACGGGCAGACUAGUGUGUGAGGGGAGACUGGAAUUCCUGGUGUAGCGGUGAAAUGCGCAGAUAUCAGGAGGAACACCGAGUGGCGAAGGCAGGUCUCUGGGCCACUACUGACGCUGAGAAGCGAAGCAUGGGGAGCGAACAGG